AUUACAGCUAAAAAGGAGGAUGGAGCUGGUUCUAUAUGGGGGCUAGUAGUAUUCUAGCCCCUAUGUAGAACCAGCUCCAUCCUCCUUUU